rnacentral:rRNA from 1 species
AGGACGAACGCUGGCGGCGUGCCUAAUACAUGCAAGUCGAACGAACUCUGGUAUUGAUUGGUGCUUGCAUCAUGAUUUACAUUUGAGUGAGUGGCGAACUGGUGAGUAACACGUGGGAAACCUGCCCAGAAGCGGGGGAUAACACCUGGAAACAGAUGCUAAUACCGCAUAACAACUUGGACCGCAUGGUCCGAGUUUGAAAGAUGGCUUCGGCUAUCACUUUUGGAUGGUCCCGCGGCGUAUUAGCUAGAUGGUGGGGUAACGGCUCACCAUGGCAAUGAUACGUAGCCGACCUGAGAGGGUAAUCGGCCACAUUGGGACUGAGACACGGCCCAAACUCCUACGGGAGGCAGCAGUAGGGAAUCUUCCACAAUGGACGAAAGUCUGAUGGAGCAACGCCGCGUGAGUGAAGAAGGGUUUCGGCUCGUAAAACUCUGUUGUUAAAGAAGAACAUAUCUGAGAGUAACUGUUCAGGUAUUGACGGUAUUUAACCAGAAAGCCACGGCUAACUACGUGCCAGCAGCCGCGGUAAUACGUAGGUGGCAAGCGUUGUCCGGAUUUAUUGGGCGUAAAGCGAGCGCAGGCGGUUUUUUAAGUCUGAUGUGAAAGCCUUCGGCUCAACCGAAGAAGUGCAUCGGAAACUGGGAAACUUGAGUGCAGAAGAGGACAGUGGAACUCCAUGUGUAGCGGUGAAAUGCGUAGAUAUAUGGAAGAACACCAGUGGCGAAGGCGGCUGUCUGGUCUGUAACUGACGCUGAGGCUCGAAAGUAUGGGUAGCAAACAGGAUUAGAUACCCUGGUAGUCCAUACCGUAAACGAUGAAUGCUAAGUGUUGGAGGGUUUCCGCCCUUCAGUGCUGCAGCUAACGCAUUAAGCAUUCCGCCUGGGGAGUACGGCCGCAAGGCUGAAACUCAAAGGAAUUGACGGGGGCCCGCACAAGCGGUGGAGCAUGUGGUUUAAUUCGAAGCUACGCGAAGAACCUUACCAGGUCUUGACAUACUAUGCAAAUCUAAGAGAUUAGACGUUCCCUUCGGGGACAUGGAUACAGGUGGUGCAUGGUUGUCGUCAGCUCGUGUCGUGAGAUGUUGGGUUAAGUCCCGCAACGAGCGCAACCCUUAUUAUCAGUUGCCAGCAUUAAGUUGGGCACUCUGGUGAGACUGCCGGUGACAAACCGGAGGAAGGUGGGGAUGACGUCAAAUCAUCAUGCCCCUUAUGACCUGGGCUACACACGUGCUACAAUGGAUGGUACAACGAGUUGCGAACUCGCGAGAGUAAGCUAAUCUCUUAAAGCCAUUCUCAGUUCGGAUUGUAGGCUGCAACUCGCCUACAUGAAGUCGGAAUCGCUAGUAAUCGCGGAUCAGCAUGCCGCGGUGAAUACGUUCCCGGGCCUUGUACACACCGCCCGUCACACCAUGAGAGUUUGUAACACCCAAAGUCGGUGGGGUAACCUUUUAGGAACCAGCCGCCUAAGGUGGGACAGAUGAUUAGGGUGAA